UACUAGACACGUGACCAGAAACUUUGAGCCGGAAAGGCUUGUGGAGGUUAGUCUGGUCUAGUUUGGUUUUCCAAUCUUGAGGGAAAAGAACACUCCUACAGGUUGCGUGUGAUUAAGCAUAGCACAGUCAAUGUCUUCAGCGUCAGUCGUCCUUCGAAGUGGAUCCUUGGUGCAUCUUGUCUUGCUGUCUUCAGUUGUCGAGAGGGGUGAGAGAGAGUACAGAGGAGAGUCUAAGGGUCUUAGUGCAGUCAAACAAGCGUUGGAAAGUCAACUCAAACAAGUGCCGAAAUCGUUUUGAACAUUAAAAAUAAGACGAGUGAUAUAACCGCAUGCUUGUUGCCUAAGCAAAAGUGCGACUUAUAUCAAGCACAAACAACAGAAACGAGCAACACACAACUUGGUCCAUCCGAACCAUUUCACGGACUCGACUUCGCAUAGGGGAUUCACGACUCAUCCUAUCCUAGGUUCUGGGACUCGACAGUCAGGCUCGUUUCGUGCUCCGGAGAGGAGUCCGCUAAGUCUUCUGGACCUUCUUAUGGUGUUGUCAUGCCUCUUGUUGUCGAUUGCCGAAGCAAUUCGCUUGAGUUGUAAAAGAGCUCUUAUUUUCAUUCUCAUCUGGGAAGUUGCUGACGAAGGUGGUUUUUCAUAGCUGUCAUUGACAGGGAAUUCUGUUGUGUUCAUGAUCUUGUCAGUGUCUUCUUAUCUUC
rnacentral:lncRNA from 1 species